rnacentral:rRNA from 1 species
AUUGAACGCUGGCGGCAUGCCUAACACAUGCAAGUCGAACGGCAGCACGGCAGUAGCAAUACUGUGGGUGGCGAGUGGCGGACGGGUGAGGAAUACGUCGGAAUCUGCCCAAUCGUGGGGGAUAACUAACCGAAAGGUUAGCUAAUACCGCAUACGACCGAGAGGUGAAAGCGGGGGACCGCAAGGCCCCGCGCGAUUGGAUGAGCCGACGUCGGAUUAGCUUGUUGGUGGGGUAAAGGCCUACCAAGGCAACGAUCCGUAGCUGGUCUGAGAGGAUGAUCAGCCACACUGGAACUGAGACACGGUCCAGACUCCUACGGGAGGCAGCAGUGGGGGAAUAUUGGACAAUGGGCGGAAGCCUGAUCCAGCAAUGCCGCGUGUGUGAGAAGGCCU